GGACUUUAGCUCGGUGGCAGAGCAGAUGUUUUGCAUGCAAAAGAUCCCAGGUUCAAUCCCUGGCAUCUCCA